rnacentral:rRNA from 1 species
UUAAAAUGUAAAAUAAAAAAUUUGAGUAGUAUUAGAUAUGAUCUUGAAACUUAAAAAAUUUGGCGGUAUUUUAGUCUAUUCAGAGGAACCUGUUCUAUAAUCGAUAAUCCACGAUGGACCUUACUUAAAUUUGUUAAUCAGUUUAUAUACCGUCGUUAUUAGAAUAUUUUGUAAAAAUAAUAAUUUUCUAUAAUUUUAAUUAAAAUAUAUAUCAGAUCAAGGUGUAGCUUAUAUUUAAGAAGAAAUGGGUUACAAUAAAUUUAUUUAAAUGGAUAUAAAAAUGAAAAAGUUAUUGAAAGUGGAUUUGAUAGUAAAAUUAUAAAGAUUAAUAAUUUGAUUUUAGCUCUAAAAUAUGCAC